GGUUAAGCGACUAAGCGUACACGGUGGAUGCCCUGGCAGUCAGAGGCGAUGAAGGACGUGCUAAUCUGCGAUAAGCGUCGGUAAGGUGAUAUGAACCGUUAUAACCGGCGAUUUCCGAAUGGGGAAACCCAGUGUGAUUCGUCACACUAUCAUUAACUGAAUCCAUAGGUUAAUGAGGCGAACCGGGGAACUGAAACAUCUAAGUACCCCGAGGAAAAGAAAUCAACCGAGAUUCCCCCAGUAGCGGCGAGCGAACGGGGAAGAGCCCAGAGCCUGAAUCAGUGUGUGUGUUAGUGGAAGCGUCUGGAAAGGCGCGCGAUACAGGGUGACAGCCCCGUACACAAAAAUGCACAUGUUGUGAGCUCGAUGAGUAGGGCGGGACACGUGGUAUCCUGUCUGAAUAUGGGGGACCAUCCUCCAAGGCUAAAUACUCCUGACUGACCGAUAGUGAACCAGUACCGUGAGGGAAAGGCGAAAAGAACCCCGGCGAGGGAGUGAAAAAGAACCUGAAACCGUGUACGUACAAGCAGUGGGAGCCUCUUUUAUGGGGUGACUGCGUACCUUUUGUAUAAUGGGUCAGCGACUUAUAUUCUGUAGCAAGGUUAACCGAAUAGGGGAGCCGAAGGGAAACCGAGUCUUAACUGGGCGUUAAGUUGCAGGGUAUAGACCCGAAACCCGGUGAUCUAGCCAUGGGCAGGUUGAAGGUUGGGUAACACUAACUGGAGGACCGAACCGACUAAUGUUGAAAAAUUAGCGGAUGACUUGUGGCUGGGGGUGAAAGGCCAAUCAAACCGGGAGAUAGCUGGUUCUCCCCGAAAGCUAUUUAGGUAGCGCCUCGUGAACUCAUCUCCGGGGGUAGAGCACUGUUUCGGCAAGGGGGUCAUCCCGACUUACCAACCCGAUGCAAACUGCGAAUACCGGAGAAUGUUAUCACGGGAGACACACGGCGGGUGCUAACGUCCGUCGUGAAGAGGGAAACAACCCAGACCGCCAGCUAAGGUCCCAAAGUCAUGGUUAAGUGGGAAACGAUGUGGGAAGGCCCAGACAGCCAGGAUGUUGGCUUAGAAGCAGCCAUCAUUUAAAGAAAGCGUAAUAGCUCACUGGUCGAGUCGGCCUGCGCGGAAGAUGUAACGGGGCUAAACCAUGCACCGAAGCUGCGGCAGCGACGCUUAUGCGUUGUUGGGUAGGGGAGCGUUCUGUAAGCCUGCGAAGGUGUACUGUGAGGUAUGCUGGAGGUAUCAGAAGUGCGAAUGCUGACAUAAGUAACGAUAAAGCGGGUGAAAAGCCCGCUCGCCGGAAGACCAAGGGUUCCUGUCCAACGUUAAUCGGGGCAGGGUGAGUCGACCCCUAAGGCGAGGCCGAAAGGCGUAGUCGAUGGGAAACAGGUUAAUAUUCCUGUACUUGGUGUUACUGCGAAGGGGGACGGAGAAGGCUAUGUUGGCCGGGCGACGGUUGUCCCGGUUUAAGCGUGUAGGCUGGUUUUCCAGGCAAAUCCGGAAAAUCAAGGCUGAGGCGUGAUGACGAGGCACUACGGUGCUGAAGCAACAAAUGCCCUGCUUCCAGGAAAAGCCUCUAAGCAUCAGGUAACAUCAAAUCGUACCCCAAACCGACACAGGUGGUCAGGUAGAGAAUACCAAGGCGCUUGAGAGAACUCGGGUGAAGGAACUAGGCAAAAUGGUGCCGUAACUUCGGGAGAAGGCACGCUGAUAUGUAGGUGAAGCGACUUGCUCGUGGAGCUGAAAUCAGUCGAAGAUACCAGCUGGCUGCAACUGUUUAUUAAAAACACAGCACUGUGCAAACACGAAAGUGGACGUAUACGGUGUGACGCCUGCCCGGUGCCGGAAGGUUAAUUGAUGGGGUUAGCGGUAACGCGAAGCUCUUGAUCGAAGCCCCGGUAAACGGCGGCCGUAACUAUAACGGUCCUAAGGUAGCGAAAUUCCUUGUCGGGUAAGUUCCGACCUGCACGAAUGGCGUAAUGAUGGCCAGGCUGUCUCCACCCGAGACUCAGUGAAAUUGAACUCGCUGUGAAGAUGCAGUGUACCCGCGGCAAGACGGAAAGACCCCGUGAACCUUUACUAUAGCUUGACACUGAACAUUGAGCCUUGAUGUGUAGGAUAGGUGGGAGGCUUUGAAGUGUGGACGCCAGUCUGCAUGGAGCCGACCUUGAAAUACCACCCUUUAAUGUUUGAUGUUCUAACGUUGGCCCCUGAUCGGGGUUGCGGACAGUGUCUGGUGGGUAGUUUGACUGGGGCGGUCUCCUCCUAAAGAGUAACGGAGGAGCACGAAGGUUGGCUAAUCCUGGUCGGACAUCAGGAGGUUAGUGCAAUGGCAUAAGCCAGCUUGACUGCGAGCGUGACGGCGCGAGCAGGUGCGAAAGCAGGUCAUAGUGAUCCGGUGGUUCUGAAUGGAAGGGCCAUCGCUCAACGGAUAAAAGGUACUCCGGGGAUAACAGGCUGAUACCGCCCAAGAGUUCAUAUCGACGGCGGUGUUUGGCACCUCGAUGUCGGCUCAUCACAUCCUGGGGCUGAAGUAGGUCCCAAGGGUAUGGCUGUUCGCCAUUUAAAGUGGUACGCGAGCUGGGUUUAGAACGUCGUGAGACAGUUCGGUCCCUAUCUGCCGUGGGCGCUGGAGAACUGAGGGGGCUGCUCCUAGUACGAGAGGACCGGAGUGGACGCAUCACUGGUGUUCGGGUUGUCAUGCCAAUGGCACUGCCCGGUAGCUAAAUGCGGAAGAGAUAAGUGCUGAAAGCAUCUAAGCACGAAACUUGCCCCGAGAUGAGUUCUCCCUGACCCUUUAAGGGUCCUGAAGGAACGUUGAAGACGACGACGUUGAUAGGCCGGGUGUGUAAGCGCAGCGAUGCGUUGAGCUAACCGGUACUAAUGAACCGUGAGGCUUAACCUU
rnacentral:rRNA from 1 species